rnacentral:siRNA from 1 species
GAGGAGCUGAUGUACAGGUCC